rnacentral:rRNA from 1 species
CUGAGACACUGCCCAAACUCCUACGGGAGGCUGCAGUAGGGAAUUUUCCGCAAUGCACGAAAGUGUGACGGAGCGACGCCGCGUGUGUGAUGAAGGCUUUCGGGUCGUAAAGCACUGUUGUAAGGGAAGAAUAACUGAAUUCAGAGAAAGUUUUCAGCUUGACGGUACCUUACCAGAAAGGGAUGGCUAAAUACGUGCCAGCAGCCGCGGUAAUACGUAUGUCCCGAGCGUUAUCCGGAUUUAUUGGGCGUAAAGCGAGCGCAGACGGUUUAUUAAGUCUGAUGUGAAAUCCCGAGGCCCAACCUCGGAACUGCAUUGGAAACUGAUUUAUUUGAGUGCGAUAGAGGCAAGUGGAACUCCAUGUGUAGCGGUGAAAUGCGUAGAUAUGUGGAAGAACACCAGUGGCGAAAGCGGCUUGCUAGAUCGUAACUGACGUUGAGGCUCGAAAGUAUGGGUAGCAAACGGGAUUAGAUACCCCGGUAGUCCAUACCGUAAACGAUGGGUGCUAGUUGUUAAGAGGUUUCCGCCUCCUAGUGACGUAGCAAACGCAUUAAGCACCCCGCCUGAGGAGUACGGCCGCAAGGCUAAAACUUAAAGGAAUUGACGGGGACCCGCACAAGCGGUGGAGCAUGUGGUUUAAUUCGAAGAUACGCGAAAAACCUUACCAGGUCUUGACAUACCAAUGAUCGCUUUUGUAAUGAAAGCUUUUCUUCGGAACAUUGGAUACAGGUGGUGCAUGGUCGUCGUCAGUUCGUGUCGUGAGAUGUUGGGUUAAGUCCCGCAACGAGCGCAACCCUUGUUAUUAGU